GUAGGGUGCGAGCGUUAAUCGGAGUUACUGGGCGUAAAGUGUGCGCAGGCGGUCUCGCAAGUCAAGUGUGAAAGCCCCGGGCUUAACCUGGGAACUGCGCUUGAAACUACGAGACUCGAGUGUGGCAGAGGAAGGUGGAAUUCCACGUGUAGCGGUGAAAUGCGUAGAGAUGUGGAGGAACACCGAUGGCGAAGGCAGCCUUCUGGGCCAACACUGACGCUCAUGCACGAAAGCGUGGGGAGCAAACAGGAUUAGAUACCCUGGUAGUCCACGCCCUAAACGAUGAUGACUAGUUGUUGGAGGAGUUAAAUCCUUUAGUAACGCASUAACGCGUGAAGUCAUCCGCCUGGGGAGUACGGUCGCAAGAUUA
rnacentral:rRNA from 1 species